ensembl:lncRNA
GCGAUGACAGCACUGAGCAAACAUCUCCUGCACAGAGCCCGGCUCUGACCUUUAGCAGCGCUCGGGGCUGCGCGCCUGUUUAGGAUGUCACCAACCACGACGGGCUUCCUCCCAGCGAGUGGAGCUCAGGGGUAAUCGGAGCUGUUUGGAGGGCCGGAUUCCUGACCAGCACUGAGUCGGAACAGCCGUGUGCCAGCAGCACGGCCAACAGGCGAUGCUGAGUUUGGGCUAAGAGCUCUUAACCCCAUGUUGACAUUACCAACCCGAUAGAGGGGAUGGCCUCAUGCUGGGCCCAGCGCUUGGAGUGCUGCAGAACUGCAGGCAGGAUACAAACAUCCGCAUCAGGAAUAACUGUUAGGAUCCCAGCGGUGUGUCCCACACUGAGCAGACGGCUCCGAGACUGCUGCCACCUCCAUGGGAACUGCGGGAGCCCCUGGGGCUCAGUCUGAGGUCUCGUGCUCUGAAAUGAGGGCUGUGCUGUGAGCACGUAUCUCACAGGUGAGCUGUGAGCAGCACUGAAAUAGAGUAGAGUGAAGAGCUGUAAGGUAGCUUGAAGACUGACGUUAAUUACGCAGUAAUUUUCUAGCUGUGAUCCAUGACGGACCUGUUGCUGAUCCCCAGACAGAUGGCGAGUCACACAGGAUGGGCUUCUCUUCAUUUCCAUCUGCUAUAUUUCAUUAAGGCAGCUAAAAAUAAAAAUAUCCUGAAUGUUAUUUUUCCAUGCAAGCUACUGCUACAGCAAUGUGAUACGGCAGUGACUGGAGCUUCCGAGCGACAAGGAAUUCUGAACUGAUUUGUGAUCCUUGGUGUGAAAAGAGACCGCGACCCCCUGCACCAGCCUCAGUGUGAGCGCUGCGCUUCCCUGCGUGCGCUGCAGAAGAGUCUGUUCACAACAAUUCUGUGCUAGAAGGGGAGCACAGGCGUGGCUGUCUCCUCUGAGCGGAAGUUCCCAUUUCUGGGCUCUAACUAUUGCAGAUGGUGCCAUGAAAUGGUGGUGCAGUCACAGAGGUCUCCAUGCAGUGGGAACACGUCCCCAAACCGCUGCUCUGAGCUUUCAGCUGGCGCAGUGCACAGAGCCCUCUUACAGCUUUGUUUGGGGCAUUGUUGGGAUUUGGUUUUAUGGAUUUUUCAGCUCUACUGCGUCUUUGCACAGUGAAGCCGUGCUCUUGCACACACAGCUCUACUAAUCUGUGUUAGUGCCCGGACCUGGCUGAUGCUUGGGCUUCAGAACCGAGGAUGGAGUCUGGCACUGAGAUUUUUAGGCCCAGGCUAUUUUUGUUCCUGGCUCCACUGGCCAUUGCUAUAGAUCUGAAUGCUGAGCGUGGACGUGCGCAAGAGAAGAGCUCUAUUAUUUCACCCUACUUCGAAAAGCCAGAAGGAAGCUUUCAGGCAGCACAGCUCGCAGCACCACCAAUGCUCCGUCUCAGUGGCAGUGCCUGCAGCGCCGCUCGAGGACCUUUGUUCCGACCCCUCCUUUCUUCGUCGCUCCAUGCUUCGAAAAACAAACUGUUUCCUCGCCCUCCUGGCAGUGCUCCCAUGAGGAAAUUCCUGCUCUGCAGCCACACCAUCCCUCCUUCAGUCGGGUCACGUUGCUUCCCCAUUCGCCCGGCCCAGCCCUCACCCCAGGAGAACCUUUGGCUCCGUUCUUGCGCCUGUUCUUCCUCCUCCGUUUAUUGGAGUUCCACCCUAAGCUCACACUGACUCGGGCCCCAGUUUAGCAAGGAAUUUUAUCAUGUGCUCCACGUAACUGGCUUAGACCUUCCAUCUGUUUUUAGCUUAUCAGAGCUGCGGGGGGAGCCGCCCGGUUCCGCACCCCCGGCUCUGUGUGCGUUGGCGUUUCUGAGCGAAGAGUUCACUUGCCUAAAGUGGAGCAGGAGCUCAGAUAAGGAGCGCUGCUGAGCUGGGCUCCAUCCAGCAUGGUGGCACGUCUCCCCAAAGCUCGUGGUGCUCCGCAGCUCUGACACGUUCCAGGUUGUUGGGUGCUCCUCCCACAGCUCACCGCUGGCAUAUAGCUGGGUGCUCUGCGCUUUGCUGCACGUACUGGGAAUCCUGAGAGAGGAGUAUAGGAUUAAAUCUUAGUCUUGGGAGCAGAGAAUGAAGCCAAAGUGGGCAAAAAGUGAUGAGCCCAGAAGUAUUGGACUCAGUGUUUCAUUCCCAGUGGAGUCGGACGCAGCAGAGUCUGAUUUUGCUGCUGGCACCAUUGUGCCAAUACACGGUGUGAUGGCAACGGCUACAGGAGCAGAAGGAUGCCUGGACUGCACGCAGCCGCUUAUAACUUCUGCCUUCAAAGGUUGCCAUAUUUAAUUCACAUCAUGUAAAAAUUCCAUUGGCGAAGGGUGGGGAAAACUGAACGUUGAAUGAGGACUUCUGUUCUCCCGCAGAGCUGCACUGGAGGAGCCGGGCUGUGGCAGUCGGAUUUCUGCUAUAGAUCUCCUGGAGCAGCUUGUUAACAACUCACCGCUGCACAUGGGUGAAAUUGGAAUGGAACCCACCUUAGCAACAAGCCCAGUUUGGCUCCAGCUGCGGAGAACAGCUCUGACAAAGGUGAGAUGUGUGGAGCUGCUAUGAGACGGCUCCUGCUGCUUAGCCCCAUCUAUCUCAGAAGGCAGAGAAUUACAAAUUAGGAGCCUGGUUGGCAGCUGAGGGGGGACAGGGACUUGACCGGCACUCGGGGGAUGCAACAACACUGUUUUCCUGUGUGCUUCUUUUCCCAUCAGCGCGUGUUUUCAAAUUCUUUUCCCUCCCUGAAGAGUCUCUCUCUGUGAUUAUCUUCCUGCUUUUCUCCCUCCUCUUCCCUGGGUUUAUUUCUCAGGGCAGAUGAUCUCUACCUGCCACUCAGGUUAACUCUGGUUUCAGUAUCAAAGAUCAUUUAAGCUGAAAAUAGCUUUUAAAUGGGUCCACAUCCCAGCCCAGGGGUGCGUGGUCAGCAGCCCUCAGCUCCAUCCAGCAUGCAGGGCUCGGAGCACUCCCUCACCGCGGCCGCAGCCGCCUCACUCCGUGUCAGGGAGAGAGGGUGAUGGCCUUGAGCACAGCUGGUUGGGGACCAGGUGGGAGGAGCUGAUGAAGCAGGAAAAAAGCCACGAACACUCAGCAGGGCAGCCGGCUCCGUACGUUUUGAUUUUCAUGAAAAGGAAAACGAUGUCUUUAAGGGCCCAUAGAUUUUUAUCACUGUGUUGCUAUGGGUUAUUGGGAAAUGGCUAGUGGUGAUAUUUAAUAUACAGAGUCCAAAUUACUCAGUGGUAUGAAAUAAGUCCUGUGCUGUUAGAACACGAAGCCUUGCCCUUCAGUUCAAAGCAACACAGCAUGAUGCUCCUGGGGCAGGAGGGUGGGUGCUGCACGUCCCACUGCUGGGAACUCCUGCCUGCCUGGGGGCAGCGGGGGGUGGGCUGUGGGUUCCCAACAGCUGGCGCUUCUGUGAGCGGAGCAGCUGUGCUGAGCAUCUCCCUGACCCUAAAUGUGUAACAGCAUUGUUGCUUUGGGAAG